UACGUAGGGGGCAAGCGUUGUUCGGAAUUACUGGGCGUAAAGGGCGCGUAGGCGGCACGGCAAGUCGGGAGUGAAAAGCCCGGGGCUCAACCCCGGAGGGUCUUCCGAAACUGCCGAGCUAGAGUGCGGAAGAGGCAACCGGAAUUCCCAGUGUAGCGGUGAAAUGCGUAGAUAUGGGGAGGAACACCGGUGGCGAAGGCGGCCACCUGGACGGUAACUGACGCUGAGACGCGAAAGCGUGGGGAGCAAACAGG
rnacentral:rRNA from 1 species